rnacentral:lncRNA from 1 species
AUGGUUCUUUUUCACCCUCUGUAUUUUACUUUUUUGCCCUUCAAUAAAAACUUCGAUUUCUACGAACCAAAUUUUUUUUGCCUUGAAAAAAAAAUUCGGUUUCUGUUAACCGAAAUUUUCCUGAAUUUGAACUAGAAAAAACUUCGGUUUCUGCGAACCGAAGUUUUUAUCAAGGGCAAAAUUUGAAUAUUUGGGGGUAUAAAAGAUACAUGGGGG